rnacentral:lncRNA from 1 species
GGACCAGAUCAAGAAACUAGCCACAAGAUUAAAAACCAUGGCCCAGGAGCCACGCUGAUGGAGGCUACAAGACUCUGAUCCUCCCUCAACUGCUCUCAAGUACCUAAUUCACCCCGGAUGCUCAGCAAACAUUGGAUCAUCACCCAUAACCCCUGAUUGAUCUGCUAUUACAUCAAGAGGAAAGGAAGAGUGGAGCAGAGCUUGACAGCUGGGGCAAAGCCAUGGAACUUAUGGAAUACAGAGAUGUGCCCUCUAUAAGACUGCAGUAAUCUAUUAAUAGAGAAAAGACUGUACAGUUCUGGAAGAAGGUGAGUGGUUAAGGUCUGAUCCAGACAGGUUGCUGUUUGGGGAAGAAAGAAUUUUACUUGGAAAAGAAAAAGAAAAAUACAGUGUAUGCUAUUUCUUCCUUUGGGAAAAGAAAUGUAGUGUCAAGUAAAUUUGCAAGUCAUAAAAUCUCCAUACCAUUCAACAAAUAUUCUACAUGUGACCCUAUGGAUGCCUUAUCAUAAGGAUUGAAAUAUGCCUGGAGAUCUCUAACAUAAAAUUGUAAAGAAUGGGCAGUCAGUAGGCUGUGCCUAAAUGUGACAAGGAGGAAUAUAGAUGAGGAAGAAUAAUAAAAAACAACAGAGACCAAAUAUUUCUAAAUGGAUUAUGAGAAGAUGGCACAUGUAGUGUAUUUACAUAUUUCUUAGAAACUGAUACAAAUAAUUUAGUUAGCUCCCUCUGCAGCUAUGUUUACAAUCUGUAUAAUGUGCACUUGCUUUUUUUGCCUGGAAAGUCAAUUUUCUUCUCGUUUAGAAAGUUGUAAAAGAACAGAGAAUUGCAGAUACACAAGAUGUGUUGAAAACAGGAUAUAUUAACUUCACAUUUUCUUACUAGAAAGCCUUUCUACUGUUGUGAAAAGAAUAAAAUC